AGUCAUGGUCAUCCGCGUGUGCUUCAUCAGGUAGGCGAUGACGAUGGUGGCGGAACGGGAGACACCAGCCUGGCAGUGGAUGAGAAGGCCCUUUCCACACUGCAACAAUCAUGGGUGUUCUUGAGACAGAGACCAGUGGCAACCAGAGGCAAUAAUGUGAAGCACUCGGCUGCCUCUUUGUGCUGAUGAAAGUUGGGAUUGCUUGGAAACAGUGUCGAGAAUCUGUCCUCUGCUCCUGCUGUCCUAGUCACCCUCAGAGUCUCGACACAAUGCUACAAGAGCUAUAAAAGCUAAGGUCAUCAUCGAGCUGGUGGUGGCUUCCUUCUGAGGGUAGAGCCUAGUGUGGCUAGAAUUUUCCUUUGGGGUCCUACAGGGGCCUGAUGGUUCUUGUUUCCCUGAGCCUGAGACAAAGCGUCAAAGAGAACAUGUACCUUUUCAUGAGCACUAACAUCAGUCUUCGUCACUCAG